rnacentral:rRNA from 1 species
GGUGAGUAAUGCCUAGGAAAUUGCCCUGAUGUGGGGGAUAACCAUUGGAAACGAUGGCUAAUACCGCAUGAUGCCUACGGGCCAAAGAGGGGGACCUUCGGGCCUCUCGCGUCAGGAUAUGCCUAGGUGGGAUUAGCUAGUUGGUGAGGUAAGGGCUCACCAAGGCGACGAUCCCUAGCUGGUCUGAGAGGAUGAACAGCCACACUGGAACUGAGACACGGUCCAGACUAAUACGGGAGGCAGCAGUGGGGAAUAUUGCACAAUGGGCGCAAGCCUGAUGCAGCCAUGCCGCGUGUGUGAAGAAGGCCUUCGGGUUGUAAAGCACUUUCAGUCGUGAGGAAGGUGGUGUAGUUAAUAGCUGCAUUAUUUGACGUUAGCGACAGAAGAAGCACCGGCUAACUCCGUGCCAGCAGCCGCGGUAAUACGGAGGGUGCGAGCGUUAAUCGGAAUUACUGGGCGUAAAGCGCAUGCAGGUGGUUUGUUAAGUCAGAUGUGAAAGCCCGGGGCUCAACCUCGGAAUAGCAUUUGAAACUGGCAGACUAGAGUACUGUAGAGGGGGGUAGAAUUUCAGGUGUAGCGGUGAAAUGCGUAGAGAUCUGAAGGAAUACCGGUGGCGAAGGCGGCCCCCUGGACAGAUACUGACACUCAGAUGCGAAAGCGUGGGGAGCAAACAGGAUUAGAUACCCUGGUAGUCCACGCCGUAAACGAUGUCUACUUGGAGGUUGUGGCCUUGAGCCGUGGCUUUCGGAGCUAACGCGUUAAGUAGACCGCCUGGGGAGUACGGUCGCAAGAUUAAAACUCAAAUGAAUUGACGGGGGCCCGCACAAGCGGUGGAGCAUGUGGUUUAAUUCGAUGCAACGCGAAGAACCUUACCUACUCUUGACAUCCAGAGAACUUUCCAGAGAUGGAUUGGUGCCUUCGGGAACUCUGAGACAGGUGCUGCAUGGCUGUCGUCAGCUCGUGUUGUGAAAUGUUGGGUUAAGUCCCGCAACGAGCGCAACCCUUAUCCUUGUUUGCCAGCGAGUAAUGUCGGGAACUCCAGGGAGACUGCCGGUGAUAAACCGGAGGAAGGUGGGGACGACGUCAAGUCAUCAUGGCCCUUACGAGUAGGGCUACACACGUGCUACAAUGGCGCAUACAGAGGGCGGCCAACUUGCGAAAGUGAGCGAAUCCCAAAAAGUGCGUCGUAGUCCGGAUUGGAGUCUGCAACUCGACUCCAUGAAGUCGGAAUCGCUAGUAAUCGUGGAUCAGAAUGCCACGGUGAAUACGUUCCCGGGCCUUGUACACACCGCCCGUCACACCAUGGGAGUGGGCUGCAAAAGAAGUAGGUAGU